CCGGUACAACGGGGUGCGACACGGUGACGUGGGGCGGAUCCCUGAAAACCGGUCUCAGUUCGGAUCGCAGUCUGCAACUCGACUGCGUGAAGGUGGAGUCGCUAGUAAUCGCGGAUCAGCAACGCCGCGGUGAAUGCGUUCCCGGGCCUUGUACACACCGCCCGUCAAGUCAUGAAAGUGGGCAGCACCCGAAGACGGUGGCCUAACCCUUGUGGGGGGAGCCGUCUAAGGUGAGGCUCGUGAUUGGGACUAAGUCGUAACAAGGUAGC
rnacentral:rRNA from 1 species